CAUGAAGAGCCGGAAAGUUCUAGGUCACCAGCAGUUGGUCAUGGAGUGUGUCGAGCAGUUAGGCUGCAUGUUCAAGCCUGAUUUCAAGGCGAUCAAGAAGAGAAUCGAGGACCUAAUUACUCGAGACUAUCUCGAGAGGGACAAAGAUAACCCCAAAAUGUUCAGGUACUUGGCGUGACGUGGGCUAUACUAAAUUAUCCUGAUGAAAGGGUGACCAUUUUGCUGCUGCAAAUAGCUCGAAACAGUUAGACGAGGUCGGUUUGCAGCUAAAGUGGCAUAUAAAGAUCAAUAAGAUGCCACCAGAUGAGUUGCUUUUGAUGAUUUUGCUUAGCAGGAGCUGAGAUGCUUGUACAGAAAGAGCCAGGUUUGGCCAAGUUGUAAAAUUCCGAAACCAACCGG